rnacentral:rRNA from 1 species
UACCAGCACCCCGAGUGGUCGGGACGAUUAUUGGGCCUAAAGCAUCCGUAGCCGGCCUUACAAGUCCCCCGUUAAAUCCAACUGCUUAACAGAUGGGCUGCGGAGGAUACUAUAAGACUAGGAGGCAGGAGAGGCAAGCGGUACUCAGUGGGUAGGGGUAAAAUCCGUUGAUCCAUUGAAGACCACCAGUGGCGAAGGCGGCUUGCCAGAAUGCGCUCGA